CUGAGUGCUAGAAGCCAGCUAGCUUGCAGGACAACAAAUGGAAGACCCUCUAUCACCUUAGAGCUGGAAGGUAGUUUAACAAAAGGAACCAGGACAAAGAGUCAGCCUGCAAAACCGAGAACCUUAAAAAAUCAACUGUCAACAUCAACGCCACUGUCCACUGUGUCAAAGUGAUGACCACAUGAAACUUGCAACCAUACCAGACAAUGAAGAGGAUUGUCAUAGACAUCAAGACAAUGUGCACAUGUCGCUGGAAUGGGUACACCCCAGAGCAGACCGACUGCAAUGCAGCAAAGUGUGAGGUACCAAGUCCAGUUAUUAUGACCUCACCCUGUAACUCUGAUGAGACUGCACUGCGCCCUCAGCCCAUAGUCAGUUGAAGAGGGAACAGACCCUAUGGCUCUAAUAUUGAUUUACACACUGGGAGUGUAGCUUCUGCGUACC